rnacentral:tRNA from 1 species
UCCCUGGUGACUCAGAGGUUAAAGCGUCUGCCUGCAAUGCAGGAGACCCGGGUUCGAUCCCUGGGUUGGGAA